AUGUUGAAAUGGCCAUGAUGAUGCAAGAAUGUGUUUUUAAAAACAAUAAUGUGAUUGAAAUUCAUCUGAUGGUGGACUAAACAUUCAGGUUUCAGGACAUUCUUCUAGACUAUAGCUAGCUCAAAGUAUAUUGGCUGAAUGAAG